AAAAUUGUAUAAUUAUAAAAUCAGAGUAGUAUUAGUUAAGAUCUUGAAACUUAAAAAAUUUGGCGGUAUUUUAGUCUAUUUAGAGGAACCUGUAGUAUAAUCGAUAAUCCACGAUGGACCUCACUUAAUUUUGUUUUUCAGUUUGUAUACCGCUGUUAUUUGAAAAUUUUAUAAGAAAAAUAAUUUUCAUAAUUUUAUAUAAAAAAGUAAAUCAGGUCAAGGUGCAGCUUAUAAUUAAGUAUUUAUGGGUUACAAUAAAAUUAUUUAAAUGGAUUUAAACGUGAAAAUUGUUUUUUGAAAGUGGAUUUAAUAGUAAAUUUUUAAAGAUAAAAGAAUUGAUU
rnacentral:rRNA from 1 species